rnacentral:rRNA from 1 species
UACGUAGGGGGCAAGCGUUGUCCGGAAUUAUUGGGCGUAAAGAGCGUGUAGGCGGUCCGGUAAGUCAGCUGUGAAAGUCAAGGGCUCAACCCUGGGAUGCCGGUCGAUACUGCCGGACUAGAGUUCGGAAGAGGCGAGUGGAAUUCCCGGUGUAGCGGUGAAAUGCGCAGAUAUCGGGAGGAACACCUAUGGCGAAGGCAGCUCGCUGGGACGUUACUGACGCUGAGACGCGAAAGCGUGGGGAGCAAACAGG